UUAGGAAGCACACACUGGAGGUUGUGGGAGUUAGAGGCCUGUUGCUAUAUGUUGUAGAAGAUGUCCUGUGAUUAUUUUUUAAGCAUCUGUGUCAUUUUAAUAAAGGAAGGGGAAAAGGCUAAGUAUCUAGAGUGCCUUCCCUUUGGGCAGUGGAGCCUUAGGAGGUAGAUAUUUAGCAAAAAAUCUCCUAAGCUAGAGACUAAUUCCCUCCAACUUUGGUUAAAUUUCUGACCCUUCUGUCAAAACCUCCAAAGUGCAUUGUCAUUGGGAACAUUCAUUCCUUCCUAUGAGAGCUGGGGAUGCACCCCAUAUAGUUGUGUUGUGAGCACAAAAGACCUGUGCAAAAGGUGUCCAGCAUCAUGUAGAACCCUCAUGAACUUCUCAUUCGAAAAGAUACUUUCUCUCUGUGGCCUCUUCUCAGCUUCUGUUAUUAUUUGACUGCAGGCCCUGUCUCCUUUGCAACCUCUCAGACAAGUGAAAACUGCACCGUUGUCUUUGAAUGCCAGGAAACAAAAUGAAAAGUAAUGAGAAGUCUCUGCCAGAGAGCAAGAAGUAUAUUUACCCUGGGAGGCAAACUUUGGAGUGCAAGAGAAACCACUUCUACAGAAGGAUUUCUGAUGUGUGAACAAGAAGGAUGAUGUGGAUGGUGACUGAAGUGAGGCCUCCAGGGGCCCUUCUGGGUACAGCAGCCAUGACAAAUAGAACCACUGGGGUGUCUGUGGAACACAGAGCGGGUCACAAGAGCACAAAAGGGUGAGUCUGUUGUCAUAGCAGAAUGUAAGCUGCUCUAAGGAUCUUGCUGUAAGGAAAAAUGAAAUAGCUGAGAGGCAUUCAGGAAAAAAUGAUGGAAAUUGCUUCUUAAUUGUAUCCUGCGCUACAGAACUAGGAAAUGUGGUCUCAUGACCAGCAUUUUCAGAGAUGUGUAUGAUGUGAUAGACACUCCUCAGCACCAUCCCACACAGUUUCACAGUGAUCCUCCAAGAUUAGGAUCA
rnacentral:lncRNA from 1 species